rnacentral:rRNA from 1 species
AACGAACGCUGGCGGCAUGCCUAACACAUGCAGGUCGAACGAGACCUUCGGGUCUAGUGGCGCACGGGUGCGUAACGCGUGGGAACCUGCCCUUAGGUUCGGAAUAACUCCCCGAAAGGGGUGCUAAUACCGGAUAAUGUCUUCGGACCAAAGAUUUAUCGCCUUUGGAUGGGCCCGCGUUGGAUUAGCUAGUUGGUAGGGUAAAAGCCUACCAAGGCGACGAUCCAUAGCUGGUCUGAGAGGAUGAUCAGCCACACUGGGACUGAGACACGGCCCAGACUCCUCGGGGAGGCAGCAGUGGGGAAUAUUGGACAAGGGGCGAAAGCCUGAUCCAGCAAGGCCGGGGGAGUGAUGAAGGCCUUAGGGUUGUAAAGCUCUUUUACCCGGGAUGAUAAUGCAAGUCCCGGGAGAAUAAGCCCCGGCUACCCCCGU